rnacentral:rRNA from 1 species
UACCUGCGCCACAAGUGGCAAUCGUUUUUAUUGGGCCUAAAGCGUCCGUAGUUGGUUUAGUAAGUCUUUUGUUAAACUAUAACGCGCAACGUUAUAUUCGCGAAAGAUACUGCUAGGCUUGGGACCGGAGGGAGGUUAGGGGUAUUUGUAGGGGAGCGGUAAAAUGCGAUAAUCCUAUAAAGACCACCAGUGGCGAAGGCGCCUAACCAGAACGGCUCCGACAAUGAGGGACGAAAGCCAGGGGA